UUUUCAUUUUCUUGAAUGCCGCUACGUUUUCUAUCCAUCUUCUCCAUAGUUUUCUUCCCUCUGCAUAUUUCAUUUCCUUGAAUCGAAGGCAUAAAUCUCCAUUUCCAAUACCCUUUUCUUACUAAAUCGAAGGCAUGUAUAUAUGCUAAAACCCCAUCCAUUUCUAUAUCAGCAUUUAGAACUGUUAUCAUGGGUAUUAUCAUCACAAUCACUCACUAAAUCCAUUCAAUUUUUCAAUUCUCAUUUCAAUUUUGUGAUUUCCUUUAUCAAUUCAGUAUUACGAUUACUAUUAAUUGGUAUUUCUGUUUUCAAUCACUUUUUCACAAUCACUCACCGAAUUUAAUUUAGUAAUCACUUUGAAUUUUAUGUUUUUUCUUUACAGUUUUAGAUAUGCACACCACAUGUUUGAUAAAAUGUUUUAGUGAGCAAUUGGAUCUCCAAAGCUUUCUCUCCAAAGAUAGCCCUCUUGACCACUUUUAGAUAUGUAUACCAUGUUUCUGAUAAAAUGUUGUAGUGGAAUGGGAAACUUUCUCUCCAAAGUUAGUCCUCUCUAUCAAUGACAUUUAGAUUGAUGCUUCCCUCUUUGGAAUAUAUGUUCGUGUGUCAUUGUUGACUAUUGUAGACUAAAGAAUAGGGGUUUCCCAUUCAUAUUGAUCACCAUUUAUAGCAGACCUCUUUUACUCUUCUGCCUUUAGAUUAGCGACUGCAUACUCUCUUUCUCACUCGAUAACCCAAAAUCAGAUCAAGACAUGGAUCGCAUUGCGUUGUUACAUGACACUUCAGUUGCACUUCACAGUCUGAAAGUGCAAGGGAAAGCUAUACCUGCUUUGCUUGAUUUGCAAGAGAAAUCGGAAUGAAAGUUGCUCCCAACAAAAUUAAUAAUCACACGUUUAUGAAGGAGUUAAAAGCUUCUCAUGUUAACAGCUUAGUGAGAAAUGUUUUAUGUAACAAGAGUCAAAAUUUUACAUAGCUUUUAGUUUUGCUUCUGUUUUUU